AUGAUGAGCCCCCGCUUGCCACUCCUCUUUGAUGCCACAGAUGAGAUUCGUAGCGCGCCUGA
rnacentral:snoRNA from 1 species